rnacentral:rRNA from 1 species
UGAGCAAUCUGCCCUUCUCAUCGGAAUAAGCGUUGGAAACGACGUCUAAUGCCGAAUACGACCUCCUUUCGCAUGAUCGGAGGUGGAAAGCUCCGGCGGAGAAGGAUGAGCUCGCGGCCUAUCAGCUAGUUGGUGUGGGUAAUGGCCCACCAAGGCGACGACGGGUAGCCCGGCCUAAGGAGGGUGACCCGGCCACACUGGGACUGAGACACGGCCCAGACCUCCGUACGGGAGNAG